UACGUAGGGUGCAAGCGUUGUCCGGAAUUAUUGGGCGUAAAGAGCUCGUAGGCGGCCUGUUGCGUCCGCUGUGAAAUCCCAGGGCUCAACCCUGGGCGUGCAGUCGAUACGGCAGGCUAGAGUCGGCAGGGGAGACUGGAAUUCGUGGUGUAGCGGUGAAAUGCGUAGAUAUCGAGAGGAACACCAGUGGCGAAGGCGAGUCCCUGGACAACUUCUGACGCUGAGGCACGAAGCUAGGGGAGCAAACAGG
rnacentral:rRNA from 1 species